rnacentral:rRNA from 1 species
ACGAACGCUGGCGGCGUGCUUAACCCAUGCCAGUCGUACGGUAAGGCCCUUUCGGGGGUACCCGAGUGGCGAACGGGUGAGUAACACGUGAGUAACCUGCCCACAACUUUGGGAUAACGCUAGGAAACUGGUGCUAAUACUGGAUAUGUGCUCCUGCUGCAUGGUGGGGGUUGGAAAGCUCCGGCGGUUGUGGAUGGACUCGCGGCCUAUCAGCUUGUUGGUGGGGUAGUGGCCUACCAAGGCGGCGACGGGUAGCCGGCCUGAGAGGGUGACCGGCCACAUUGGGACUGAGAGACGGCCCAGACUCCGACGGGAGGCAGCAGUGGGGAAUAUUGCACAAUGGGCGCAAGCCUGAUGCAGCAACGCCGCGUGCGGGAUGACGGCCUUCGGGUUGUAAACCGCUUUCAGCAGGGACGAAGCUUUUUGUGACGGUACCUGCAGAAGAAGCACCGGCUAACUACGUG